rnacentral:rRNA from 1 species
GACGAACGCUGGCGGCGUGCUUAACACAUGCAAGUCGAACGAUGAACCUUCCAUGAUCUAUUCGUAGAGAUUGGAAGCGGAUUAGUGGCGAACGGGUGAGUAACGCGUGAGCAACCUGCCUUAAACAACGGCAUAGCCUCGGGAAACCGGGAUUAAUACCGUAUGAGACCCCGCCUUCCCAUGAAGAAGAGGUUAAAGAUUUAUCGGUUUAAGAUGGGCUCGCGUCUGAUUAGCUAGUUGGUGAGAUAAAAGCCCACCAAGGCAACGAUCAGUAACCGGCUUGAGAGAGUGAACGGUCACAUUGGAACUGAGACACGGUCCAAACUCCUACGGGAGGCAGCAGUGGGGAAUAUUGCACAAUAGGGGAAACCCUGAUGCAGCGACGCCGCGUGAGCGAUGAAGGAAUUCGUUUCGUAAAGCUCUGUCCAAGGGGAAGAUAAUGACAGUACCCUUGGAGGAAGCCCCGGCUAAAUACGUGCCAGCCGCCGCUGUAA